GGUUAAGCGACUAAGCGUACACGGUGGAUGCCCUGGCAGUCAGAGGCGAUGAAGGACGUGCUAAUCUGCGAUAAGCGUCGGUAAGGUGAUAUGAACCGUUAUAACCGGCGAUUUCCGAAUGGGGAAACCCAGUGUGUUUCGACACACUAUCAUUAACUGAAUCCAUAGGUUAAUGAGGCGAACCGGGGGAACUGAAACAUCUAAGUACCCCGAGGAAAAGAAAUCAACCGAGAUUCCCCCAGUAGCGGCGAGCGAACGGGGAGCAGCCCAGAGCCUGAAUCAGUGUGUGUGUUAGUGGAAGCGUCUGGAAAGGCGUGCGAUACAGGGUGACAGCCCCGUACACAAAAAUGCACAUACUGUGAGCUCGAUGAGUAGGGCGGGACACGUGGUAUCCUGUCUGAAUAUGGGGGGACCAUCCUCCAAGGCUAAAUACUCCUGACUGACCGAUAGUGAACCAGUACCGUGAGGGAAAGGCGAAAAGAACCCCGGCGAGGGGAGUGAAAAAGAACCUGAAACCGUGUACGUACAAGCAGUGGGAGCACGCUUAGGCGUGUGACUGCGUACCUUUUGUAUAAUGGGUCAGCGACUUAUAUUCUGUAGCAAGGUUAACCGAAUAGGGGAGCCGAAGGGAAACCGAGUCUUAACUGGGCGUUAAGUUGCAGGGUAUAGACCCGAAACCCGGUGAUCUAGCCAUGGGCAGGUUGAAGGUUGGGUAACACUAACUGGAGGACCGAACCGACUAAUGUUGAAAAAUUAGCGGAUGACUUGUGGCUGGGGGUGAAAGGCCAAUCAAACCGGGAGAUAGCUGGUUCUCCCCGAAAGCUAUUUAGGUAGCGCCUCGUGAAUUCAUCUCCGGGGGUAGAGCACUGUUUCGGCAAGGGGGUCAUCCCGACUUACCAACCCGAUGCAAACUGCGAAUACCGGAGAAUGUUAUCACGGGAGACACACGGCGGGUGCUAACGUCCGUCGUGAAGAGGGAAACAACCCAGACCGCCAGCUAAGGUCCCAAAGUCAUGGUUAAGUGGGAAACGAUGUGGGAAGGCCCAGACAGCCAGGAUGUUGGCUUAGAAGCAGCCAUCAUUUAAAGAAAGCGUAAUAGCUCACUGGUCGAGUCGGCCUGCGCGGAAGAUGUAACGGGGCUAAACCAUGCACCGAAGCUGCGGCAGCGACGCUUAUGCGUUGUUGGGUAGGGGAGCGUUCUGUAAGCCUGCGAAGGUGUGCUGUGAGGCAUGCUGGAGGUAUCAGAAGUGCGAAUGCUGACAUAAGUAACGAUAAAGCGGGUGAAAAGCCCGCUCGCCGGAAGACCAAGGGUUCCUGUCCAACGUUAAUCGGGGCAGGGUGAGUCGACCCCUAAGGCGAGGCCGAAAGGCGUAGUCGAUGGGAAACAGGUUAAUAUUCCUGUACUUGGUGUUACUGCGAAGGGGGGACGGAGAAGGCUAUGUUGGCCGGGCGACGGUUGUCCCGGUUUAAGCGUGUAGGCUGGUUUUCCAGGCAAAUCCGGAAAAUCAAGGCUGAGGCGUGAUGACGAGGCACUACGGUGCUGAAGCAACAAAUGCCCUGCUUCCAGGAAAAGCCUCUAAGCAUCAGGUAACAUCAAAUCGUACCCCAAACCGACACAGGUGGUCAGGUAGAGAAUACCAAGGCGCUUGAGAGAACUCGGGUGAAGGAACUAGGCAAAAUGGUGCCGUAACUUCGGGAGAAGGCACGCUGAUAUGUAGGUGAAGUCCCUCGCGGAUGGAGCUGAAAUCAGUCGAAGAUACCAGCUGGCUGCAACUGUUUAUUAAAAACACAGCACUGUGCAAACACGAAAGUGGACGUAUACGGUGUGACGCCUGCCCGGUGCCGGAAGGUUAAUUGAUGGGGUCAGCGCAAGCGAAGCUCUUGAUCGAAGCCCCGGUAAACGGCGGCCGUAACUAUAACGGUCCUAAGGUAGCGAAAUUCCUUGUCGGGUAAGUUCCGACCUGCACGAAUGGCGUAAUGAUGGCCAGGCUGUCUCCACCCGAGACUCAGUGAAAUUGAACUCGCUGUGAAGAUGCAGUGUACCCGCGGCAAGACGGAAAGACCCCGUGAACCUUUACUAUAGCUUGACACUGAACAUUGAGCCUUGAUGUGUAGGAUAGGUGGGAGGCUUUGAAGUGUGGACGCCAGUCUGCAUGGAGCCGGCCUUGAAAUACCACCCUUUAAUGUUUGAUGUUCUAACGUUGACCCGUAAUCCGGGUUGCGGACAGUGUCUGGUGGGUAGUUUGACUGGGGCGGUCUCCUCCUAAAGAGUAACGGAGGAGCACGAAGGUUGGCUAAUCCUGGUCGGACAUCAGGAGGUUAGUGCAAUGGCAUAAGCCAGCUUGACUGCGAGCGUGACGGCGCGAGCAGGUGCGAAAGCAGGUCAUAGUGAUCCGGUGGUUCUGAAUGGAAGGGCCAUCGCUCAACGGAUAAAAGGUACUCCGGGGAUAACAGGCUGAUACCGCCCAAGAGUUCAUAUCGACGGCGGUGUUUGGCACCUCGAUGUCGGCUCAUCACAUCCUGGGGCUGAAGUAGGUCCCAAGGGUAUGGCUGUUCGCCAUUUAAAGUGGUACGCGAGCUGGGUUUAGAACGUCGUGAGACAGUUCGGUCCCUAUCUGCCGUGGGCGCUGGAGAACUGAGGGGGGCUGCUCCUAGUACGAGAGGACCGGAGUGGACGCAUCACUGGUGUUCGGGUUGUCAUGCCAAUGGCACUGCCCGGUAGCUAAAUGCGGAAGAGAUAAGUGCUGAAAGCAUCUAAGCACGAAACUUGCCCCGAGAUGAGUUCUCCCUGACUCCUUGAGAGUCCUGAAGGAACGUUGAAGACGACGACGUUGAUAGGCCGGGUGUGUAAGCGCAGCGAUGCGUUGAGCUAACCGGUACUAAUGAACCGUGAGGCUUAACCUU
rnacentral:rRNA from 1 species